UACGAAGGGGGCUAGCGUUGCUCGGAAUCACUGGGCGUAAAGGGUGCGUAGGUGGCGCCGUAAGUGGGGUGUGAAAUCCCGGGGCUUAACCCCGGGACUGCAUUCCAUACUGCGGUGCUUGAGGACUGGAGAGGAGACUGGAAUUUACGGUGUAGCAGUGAAAUGCGUAGAUAUCGUAAGGAAGACCAGUGGCGAAGGCGGGUCUCUGGACAGUUCCUGACGCUGAGGCACGAAGGUCAGGGGAGCAAACGGG
rnacentral:rRNA from 1 species